rnacentral:rRNA from 1 species
UGCAGUCGAGCGGUAGAGAGAAGCUUGCUUCUCUUGAGAGCGGCGGACGGGUGAGUAAUGCCUAGGAAUCUGCCUGGUAGUGGGGGAUAACGUUCGGAAACGGACGCUAAUACCGCAUACGUCCUACGGGAGAAAGCAGGGGACCUUCGGGCCUUGCGCUAUCAGAUGAGCCUAGGUCGGAUUAGCUAGUUGGUGGGGUAAUGGCUCACCAAGGCGACGAUCCGUAACUGGUCUGAGAGGAUGAUCAGUCACACUGGAACUGAGACACGGUCCAGACUCCUACGGGAGGCAGCAGUGGGGAAUAUUGGACAAUGGGCGAAAGCCUGAUCCAGCCAUGCCGCGUGUGUGAAGAAGGUCUUCGGAUUGUAAAGCACUUUAAGUUGGGAGGAAGGGUUGUAGAUUAAUACUCUGCAAUUUUGACGUUACCGACAGAAUAAGCACCGGCUAACUCUGUGCCAGCAGCCGCGGUAAUACAGAGGGUGCAAGCGUUAAUCGGAAUUACUGGGCGUAAAGCGCGCGUAGGUGGUUUGUUAAGUUGGAUGUGAAAUCCCCGGGCUCAACCUGGGAACUGCAUUCAAAACUGACUGACUAGAGUAUGGUAGAGGGUGGUGGAAUUUCCUGUGUAGCGGUGAAAUGCGUAGAUAUAGGAAGGAACACCAGUGGCGAAAGCGACCACCUGGACUAAUACUGACACUG